rnacentral:lncRNA from 1 species
UAAAGUUGAGAGGCAUUGGUCAAGAACACUUAGAGCAAGCUAGGAAGAAGGAGAAUUGAGGUCGCGAUCACCGCUCAGCGGUAACCUGACGCUGAGCGCUGCUACUGCAAAAUGGGUUUCUGGUUUUUAAAACAUUGGGCUUAGUGUGGGUUGGCCCAUUAAGCUUUUUUUAAACCCUAGGGCACGUUUUGGUCGCCACUUUCAGUCUUCAUUCUUCUCAAGCACUCUCCUCACUUUUCCCUUC